rnacentral:rRNA from 1 species
AUGGAUAAGGACUCUCUUAAGUCUACUUUGGAAGAGGUUCGCAAAUCAGUCGUCCGAAUAUCUUUUGACUGGAAGAGAGAAGAGAAUAUGGAGAAUAUGGUUAUUGCUGGCCUUGUUACCUCCGUCGUUGAUGAAUUAGCUACAAUAAUAGCAAAUCCUGUCUUCUUUAGGAGAUCAAAUGAGUUCUCUGUGCGUCUUCCACAGAAUGGGGGAUAUGGAGAAUUAAUUAAGAUCUCGUGUUCUUUGGUUAAAUAUCCGACCAAUAAUUUUUUCACAUUUCUUCUUGAGCUGAAAGGAAAUGCCUACAGAAAACCUGUCAACUUUGAACUUGGAAUCCAAGAAGAUGUUCGCCAGUUUAUGCCUUCGUUUUCCCUAGGGAAAAACAUGUCACACCAGUUGGCUUUUGUGAAGGCAACAUAA